UGAUGUGCAUUACUAGUCAUUUUUGGUCCUGCAGCUUGAAUGUGGUUUGAAAACUUUGAAACCACAUUUAACGUUAAAUUUCAUUGAAACUUCGCUGACCUCCCAAAAUUGGUCUUAAGAAAUUUUUCUGUUUAUGGUCCCCCCCAAUAAUGAGAUGGGAUUUACGCCCUUGGUUUUCAGCCUGAUCGUACACCUCAACACGUUAGAAUAUAGUGAAAAAGUACAUUUGUUCCUCCUUUUAGAUAGUGAAACUCAUACUAUACAGAUUCAUUACACACAGUGCAAUAUUUCAAGCCUUUAUUUCUUGUGAUUUUGGUUGUGAUCGUGCACAGUUCAUGAUAGCCACUUAUCAUGAUCUGUGUGAGAUUGCGUCUGAACGCUCUCUUACUCUGGGUCAGUCGGCUACACAAUGACUGGACAGACGGCCAGAAGACAUGGGCACCGUCCACAAGGAGGGGAAGACACAGCAGGUCAAUGCUGAAGAAGCUGGUUGUUCACAGUGUUGCAUCCAAGCAUAGUCAUAGAAAGUGACAGGGGAAAAGUGUGGAAUGAAAAGACACAGCAGCAAGGAAAAACCACAGUCUUCAGAGGAUUGUCAAGAAUAAUCUUUUCAGAAUUUGAAUGAGCUUCACAAGGAGGGAAUGUUGGAGCUACUACACUCAAGGAUCUGUGAGGUGGUGUGGUCAAAGGGUCAAAACAGGUGAAAAGAAAACAGCAGCAGCAGCUGGUUCCAAGUCCUUUUGGUAAUUUUAUUGUUUAAAAUCUUAGUUUUCUGACAUCUGUCUCGAUGAUCUUAAAUCUUACUGGUUUUAUACCAAAUUGGCAACACUUCAUUAGACCAUAUCAUGAUAAAACAAGUCAAACUAAACAUCAAAAUCUAAACAAAGAAUAAAUGAAGGAUUAUUAAUCUAAUUAAAAUAAUGAUCUUAAUAACUAAAUCCUCUUCAAAAUCUCAUGCUUAUUUCGCAUAAAUCAGAAACCAUCACAGAUGUGAUCAGCUUUUCUUUUGAUAUGGUAUUUGCUAUAAAUCAAAUGAAUAGAAUAAAAAAAGUAACGUUUUUUGUUUUUUUUCUGCAAGCCUAAUAUAUUCCAUCCAGUCAUUUCUAGCUAAUUUAUUUCAUAGUAUGAGGAUGAGGAUGGUGGUACUGAGGCUAAGCUAAUAAAAACAAUCUCACCAAAUAGUAGGAUAUGGUCCUCAUGUGCUCUGAGUAUUUCUCCCAGAAACAGGCCUGUUUGAUCUCAUAAAGCAGGUUGAUUAAUUGUAUGAAAAAUGAUCUGAACAUUUACAAUACUGCAGAAAAAUACACUUUUUCCCCACAGCAAUGACAACAUUUACCACUUGCAUAGAAACGAGUCAUAGAGAAGGAAUUUAAAGUUUAUUAUUAUAGGGCCAGUAAUAGUUAAGGACAUAUAAUCAUCUCUUUUCACUACAUUGUAAGAUAAGAAGAUCUGGACAAAUCACUUUAACAGAAUCUCAUUGUUUAGAAAAUCAAUCAAUCAAUAAGAGCAUAAAUAAAGCAAAUACAAGUUUUCAAAUUAGAUAUAGCUGUAUAGGUACUAAUAUGGGGUCUGCAUGCAUCAUGAAACACCCUCAUUUUUCUGUACAAACACAAGAAAUGUCUCGCAGGUACAAGUUCAUAUACAAAAUGACUGUAUCUGGCUACAGGAUUAAAUUAAAGAAAGGCCCAACAUAGAAAACAGGAAACCCAGGAAGCACUUCAUAGAGACCUCACACACACAAUGCACACACACACACAAACAGUCAUAUAUACAAAUUUGUAUUAUAAUAAUUGUUACAAAAUCUCUAACUCUUUACUCUCUUUCUCACAUACACAUACACACAGUUUCAUAUAUGGAUUUGUUUAUCCUGGUUUUAUAGACUAUAUUUCCCAUCUCUUCCUGAGGAAAAAAGAGCCACACAUGGCCAAAGAGCUCAAUUACACAUUGGUUGGAGUUCAAAUUUGGAGGAAGUUUACUGCCACAAGUCGAGAGCACACAUUUUCAUGCUGGAAGUAGGAUUUCAUGUUUUUCAUCUCAAAACUCCUGCCUAACAUCAGGAGGCUGUUAGCAAUUGAACAGUAGCUCACUACUGGUGGAUAUUUAGUAGCCACACAAGCUAACCCAAUGGAAGGAAACAAACUCACCAAGUAUAACACUUUCGUUCUAUUGACUGAGAGUUUGCAGGCGACUGUACUUUUUUGUUCCAAGCGUGAGUAGAAAAUCAUUGGCAAGUGAACAGAGAGAUUUGAUUCAAGCAGAGACAAGUUUUGAGAGUGAGGAGAAAGGUUUGAGAAAGCACAGUCAAUAUUUGAAAGAGAGCAGAAGUUUUGAGUACAAGCAUUUAAUGUUGUAAUCAAGAGCACCUAACCCGAGACCAGGGGCGCAACUGCAUACUUUCUGAGGUGUAUACGAACAUGUCAUCGGCACCCCCCACACCUCCGCCCCUGCCCCAAUAACAUAAACUUGUACAACUCAUCUUUAAUUAAAGUAUCAAUAAUAAUAAAUAUACAUAUAUGUGAAUAAAUUAAUUAAAAAAGAAUGAAACAAUAAACAGGGCAGUAUUUCAUAAUUUAAUAUAUAAGUGAGCCAAAGAGCCGCUUCUGUUAGUCUGUGUCUAGAACCGCCUAUGGGCUGCAGGUCUGAGGUUUUUUGUUAGCAUGUUUUCUAUCAUUCUUAUAGCUUGAUAGGAAGCUUGAUCCAAACUGGCAACCCACAUUAAUAAAAUGGUGAAAUAAUAUUGACCACAAAACACUGUAUUUAUAAAAAAAUAUCAACAUUUUUCCUACAGAAUCCUAACAAACGUUUUUAAUGUUGAACAAAUAUGUUAUUUUCUCUUCACAAUAUUUAUUUAUCUAUAAUCUAUUUGUAUGAUUUGUUCUUUUAAUCGCCAUUUAUAUUAUUUUUUGGUCUCAGGAAAUGACUGAGGGAUGUAGAGGCUGAUGUCUGGUUCUUUAGGUUCUGACGGGUCUGCGGUUCCUCUCCUGAUCCAUUCUGUCUGAUAUCAAACAACCCACUGUGCGCCCUGAAUAUCGCCGACACAUUUUUUUAAAUGCCCCUAUUAAACUUCACUGUAAUUGUUUAGCCUGCAUCUUCUUACUCACGUCUGUAUUUUUGCCAGAGGUUUUAUUUCUAAGGAUGGUGUAGUAUCGGGUGGACAUUUUAAAAAGACGCGGGUUGAUAGCAGCUCACUGCGGCUGCGUAGCAACCGUCACUAAGCAACCGUGACAACAGCGUCAGUUCGUGGGGGUGGGAGGGAUCCUAUUUAGGUCCCGCAACGACAAUUUAGCUGCCAAUAUCAUUAUCAAUUCAAACUCUUCAUUCUGCUUUGCUUCCAUCUCUGUGCCACAAUCCACAAUCUGUUUGCCCAUAUUGUCCAUGUCAGAAACCACCACUGUCUGCUCCAUUAUACAUAGCAAUUAAGUCAAUGCCCUAACGGUAAAGUAUGAACUCAACUAUGAACACUGUCCAAGGAGCGAUAAGCAAGAAGUAAGCAAGCAGAAGGCGUGCACCCUCCCUCCCGCUGCCAGGCAGCACAGUGUUGUAAUGUCUGCCACCAUGACAGGUGACGAAAACAAUCAAAGAGCAUGUUCUGCAUUCUCUUUCAUUCUUGUGUUUUAUUUAUUCACUAAUUAAAUAAAUAUCAGUGUAUAUAAUUAAAUAAGAUAAUAAUAGCUACUGCAGUGUACACAGAACACUACAAGAACAAAGAACGGCUCUCAGUGAGGUUCCAGUCCUAUCUUUCUGUAAAGAGCCGUUCAGAACAAUCAGAUUAUUCGUGAAUGUCACAUCACUAUAUUGCAGACUUUGGUCUCAGCGUUGUCACAUAUAAGUGACACGUCAGUCAACACUUCCACACAAUAAUUCAAAAGUUGGACGUACUCCCCACCGUCUAUGAAAGUGAAGCGCUGCUGAAUUUACAUGUCACCAUAUCUUAUGAUUUAUAAACCGGGAUUCUAUUACUGACGAUUAGGCAGACAUCUGCCACUCAGAGACAAACACUGCGCAUGUCUUGGAGCGUCGCAUGCGAGUGAAAAGAGAAGGCGAUGUGUGACAGCAGUAGUAGAAACACAUAAUAUGUAAGUCAACUUAUUGCUUGGAUUUUAAUCUGUAUGUUUUGCAUACCGACAAUAUGCUUUUUAGUGAAAUUUCUGCAGUUGUGAUCUUGACCGAUCUUGAAAUAAAAUCCAGAGUCCUCAACGCCCGAGACCGAGACAAUCAAAAAGUGGUCUGGAUUACUACAACUCUACAAGCAUUACAAGUUUUGAGAAGAAAGACAUAAGUCCUGCUUUCAAACUGAAAAUGUGUGCUCUCAAAUUAUGGCAGUAAAAUUCCCCCAUAUUCACAAGAAAAGAGAGCACGCCCCUGUGCAAACACAUAGAAGUCUUGCAUGUUUCCAAACAGUUGUGGAUUUUGGUUCUGUUUGUUUUUGUGCAGUUUUCAGCUGUGAGGUUCUGAUCUCUGCUCAGUUCAUUUCAGUUGAUCUGUUCAGACUGAUUCAUUUUUUGCUUGUGUUUUUCUUUGUAUGUGCAGGUUUCACACAGUUUCUACUUUCCUUUGCCUUCGUUUAUUUGGCUCUAUCUGAACUCAGCUGUAUCACCAUGGCAACACUUUCUCAGCUUAUGAUCUGCUCUGGAGUAGCCAUGUCUGUGGAGCCGGUCUGCAUACACGGAGACAGAAGCAGCCCACUGAGAAUUUUCUCAUGAAGGAAGGGUGAUUGGAAACAUUUUUUAUUUAUAGGAUUUAUUCCAAUAUGUCUGUCUUUAGGAAUAUUGAGUUUUUAAUUUAAAAAUUAACUACAUUUCUGAUUGAAUCAUAGCAAGAACGUCCUGGAUUUGAGUUCCAGUUGGCCCCUUUCCAAUUGGAGUUAGCUUGUUCUUCCUGGAUGGAUGGAUGGAUGGAUGGAUGGAUGGAUGGAUCAAUUGAUGGAUGGAUGGAUGGUUUUUGAGUACUAAAACCCAUUUUAGAUACAACUAUAUCUGGAAAACAAAAUUCUAACUCUAGUGUGAUGUCAUCCUGAAUGGUGUGACAUGUUGCAAUGAGGUGUUUCUAUUUUAGAUGCAAACUGCUAAGUUUUUUUCCUUUCAAAUUUGUAGCACUGAUUUUGUUUUACAUAUUUUUAAUAAUUAACAGUUUUUACUUUCAGGGUCUGAUAUCUUGCCUCAUAAUGUAUCUAAUGCCUCCAAUUAGGAGGCCAUUAUUUCAUUUAAAUAUGAUCUGAUCAGCUUUCACAGACUGAAACAGUGCAAAUCAGGUUGGUGUUUUUAAAAUUCCAAAUUUUACAAACUCCAAAGAAGUCUUGCUACAAGGGGUACAAUGUAUUAACAUAGUUAUUUCCAAGGUGUGGCCCUUUCUUCUUGAUAAGAAGAGUAUUUCUUAUUGAAUAUGGCUCAAAACAUGGUUACUGUUACCAUUGUUUAAACACAGAGGUAAUAAGAUGUUGUACAAAAGCCUCCCACCCCCUCCCACACAUACAGAUAUGAAUAUUCUUCACAAAAAAAUAAAUGUAAAUUCCUGCCAUCACCGACAUGUUAUUUUCAUCUCUGUUAGGGAUUCAGAAGUUUUAUUUGACGUCCCUUAGACCCUUUAAUCCUCACCCGCGGAAAAUACAAUGGAAAAACGGCACACAGGCGUUCUGUUGCAUGUCGAACAGCUGUUGGUCAGUUCCAAGCAGCUUUCAUUAGUGGUUAAGUCGGCGGUGAGAGGAGUGAUUGUUUCCGCUGAAACUGGUUGUUCUUUGCUCGGUUCAUAAACCUCCACAACAUGGAUGAGCUCAGAUGGAUUUAGAACGUCUGUUAAUCAUACUUCAGCUCUCUGAUGAGAACAUCCGCAGAUGAGUUCCACAAACAUGUCAGAGUAGCCUUAUGACAAGGUCAAUAGUAUGUUGCAUAUUUCCUCUAAAUCAAUGUGAAAGGGCUGUUGGGGCUUUGAAGCUAUAGCUGCAGAAGGGACAAAAAUCCUCUUCAUUCUAAAUGCUCAUCCAAUCAUCUCGUCUAGAAUAUUUCCGUAUUUUACUUUAAAUAAUUAGUAUCUGCUUUAAUUAACAUUCUUUUCCAACUCUACACAGUUCAUUACACACCUCUCCCUCGGUGUCAUGAUUCCUGCUGGCAUCAUUCUGAACUCCAAGACUUUGGAAAAUGAAAGGAUAAGUUGAUAUAUGAUGUUAUUUUUUUCCAUAAGGAAGAUCCCACAAGCACUAGUUAUAAUAAAAAUACAUUCUUAUAAAAAUGUUUUUUUUUAUGGUUCGAUAUAGAAUCUCUACCUAGAACUGCUGCUGUACUCUUUUGUCCUUCAAGAGAAAGAAACCUGAAUCAAAAUAAAACAGUUUGCUUUCUUCUCUUUUUAGACAAAGAACCUCAAAUAGAAUAAAGAAAUGUAACCCUGAAAAACCAGAGUAGAUGGAAAAGUAAUGAUUAUUUGAAAUGGCAUAUUUUUCACUGAAUCUGCUUCUGCUAAAAAUAAUAACUAUGAGGACAGGAUUUAGCAAUUAUCAAAAGAUAAAACUGAUCUCUAGUUUUGUAUUGUUGUCUUGUUAAUAUUGAUAAGUUUAACAGCACAAGGUUGAAGUCAAAGUGCUUCUUCUGACCUGAGUCUUUCGUGAGAGUUAUCUGCAGGUUCUGUAGUUAACAUCUAGUGUUUAUUCAUAAUAAAUUGCCACACUGUUCUUCUGGUGUGAGAAGAAACAAAAGGUAGUACUGCUGCCAAAAUCCCAGGCAGAUCUUAUCUGUUUAAGAUCUGCCAGGUUUAAGAGUAGAUUACUCUCUCCCAUUUCAGCCAUCACAAGACUUGUUUUAAUCUUGAUCUGUCUAGCGAACAAAGAGAUUAUCAGAAAGAUGUGUGCAACAUUUUGGCAAUACCAUGGGAUUAACAAUGGUUUGUGUUUAGUCCAAAUGAUUUUGUACGGCACAAGUCAGCAGGUUUCAAAAGAGAAAAUCUGCUAAAAAAUAUUAAAGCUGGUGGUGAUACGAGAAUUCAGCUUUUCUAUGUUCCCCCAUUCACCAUUAGGAUUCUAUUAGCACCUUGCUCCUUAACUGAUGGCUUUCUAUUCUGUACAAGGAAGUUAUAAAUAUUUUUUUACUUCAAUGAAACUAUUUGUGCAAUGUUGGACAUGGGAAGCUUUAAAACUGAAAUGGGUUGUAAAAGAAGAGUAAUGCUCAGGACUAUAAAAAUACAUCUCAGUUUGCCAAGUAACUAGAAACUAAUUUAAAAACUGGGUUGAAGUUGGUUGAUUCAUUAAGUUCUGAAGAACUGUUCAUAUGGGCAGCAAAGGAAAUGAUCAAAGUUGCUUUUUCCAGAAUCUGUCUUUAGAUUGCUAAAAUCUAAAGACAUGAAAGAGCUAACCUAAGUUCUCGAACUCAUCAUAUGUAUAUGUAUAUGUAUAUGUACCCUAUAAUCUGAUCUAGCUUUUUGAUUGUGUGCAAAUAUAUUUGUCUAAUGUUUGUAAGAUUGUCACCUCCUUAAGAAUGUUAGUAGAAGACUGAAAAAUAGACAUUAGAACUGAUCCAGUGCUUAUCCACUCUUGAACAAGACAUUCUGACUUAUGGUACUUGGUUUGCAGUACUUUUUAUUUUGCAGAUUUUGGAUAAAUACGUUUUU